rnacentral:rRNA from 1 species
CAGCCGCCGCGGGAAUACAGAGGGUGCGAGCGUUAAUCGGAUUUACUGGGCGUAAAGCGUGCGUAGGCGGCUUCUUAAGUCGGAUGUGAAAUCCCUGAGCUUAACUUAGGAAUUGCAUUCGAUACUGGGAAGCUAGAGUAUGGGAGAGGAUGGUAGAAUUCCAGGUGUAGCGGUGAAAUGCGUAGAGAUCUGGAGGAAUACCGAUGGCGAAGGCAGCCAUCUGGCCUAAUACUGACGCUGAGGUACGAAAGCAUGGGGAGCAAACAGGAUUAGAGACCCGCGUAGUCCCUGUCUCUUAUAC